AACGAACGCUGGCGGCAUGCCUAACACAUGCAAGUCGAACGAGAAUCAGAAAGCUUGCUUUCUGGUAAAAGUGGCGCACGGGUGAGUAACGCGUGGGUAACGUGCCCUAGGGCUGGGGGAUAACUCACCGAAAGGUGUGCUAAUACCGAAUAAGCUCCAUUUGAGUACGCUCGAGUGGAGGAAAGCAGGGCAACCUGCACCCAAGGAUCGGCCCGCGUUCCAUCAGCUAGUUGGUGAGGUAAUGGCUCACCAAGGCUACGACGGAUAGCUGGUCUGAGAGGAUGAUCAGCCACACUGGAACUGAGACACGGUCCAGACUCCUACGGGAGGCAGCAGUGGGGAAUAUUGGACAAUGGGCGAAAGCCUGAUCCAGCAAUGCCGCGUGAGUGAUGAA
rnacentral:rRNA from 1 species